GGGCAAACCGAAGAGUUUACUCUUCGGGGUUGUAGGACUGCAAUGUGGACUCAAAGAUUAUAGAAGAAUGAUUUGGGAAGAUCAGCCAAAGAGAGUAAUAGCCUCGUAUUUAAAAUAGUCUUUGUACUUAGCAGUAUCCUGAGUACGGCGGGACACGUGAAAUCCCGUCGGAAUCUGGGAGGACCAUCUCCCAACCCUAAAUACUCCCUAGUGACCGAUAGUGAACCAGUACCGUGAGGGAAAGGUGAAAAGCACCCCGGGAGGGGAGUGAAAUAGAACCUGAAACCGUGUGCCUACAACAAGUUCGAGCCCGUUAAUGGGUGAGAGCGUGCCUUUUGUAGAAUGAACCGGCGAGUUACGUUAUGAUGCGAGGUUAAGUUGAAGAGACGGAGCCGUAGGGAAACCGAGUCUGAAUAGGGCGCCUUAGUAUCAUGACGUAGACCCGAAACCAUGUGACCUACCCAUGAGCAGGUUGAAGGUGCGGUAAGACGCACUGGAGGACCGAACCAGAGCACGUUGAAAAGUGCUUGGAUGACUUGUGGGUAGCGGAGAAAUUCCAAACGAACUUGGAGAUAGCUGGUUCUCUCCGAAAUAGCUUUAGGGCUAGCGUCGACAUUAGAGAUUCUUGGAGGUAGAGCACUGUUUGGGUGAGGGGUCCAUCCCGGAUUACCAAUCUCAGAUAAACUCCGAAUGCCAAUGAAUUAUGGUCGGCAGUCAGACUGCGAGUGCUAAGAUCCGUAGUCGAAAGGGAAACAGCCCAGACCACCAGCUAAGGUCCCAAAAUAAUUGUUAAGUGGAAAAGGAUGUGGGGUUGCACAGACAACUAGGAUGUUAGCUUAGAAGCAGCUAUUCAUUCAAAGAGUGCGUAAUAGCUCACUAGUCGAGUGACCCUGCGCCGAAAAUGUACCGGGGCUAAAACAAUUUACCGAAGCUGUGGAUACCUUUAUAGGUAUGGUAGGAGAGCGUUCUAUGUGUGAUGAAGGUAUACCGUGAGGAGUGCUGGAACGCAUAGAAGUGAGAAUGCCGGUAUGAGUAGCGAAAGACAGGUGAGAAUCCUGUCCACCGUAAGACUAAGGUUUCCAGGGGAAGGCUCGUCCGCCCUGGGUUAGUCGGGACCUAAGGAGAGACCGAAAGGUGUAUCCGAUGGACAACAGGUUGAUAUUCCUGUACUAGAGUAUGUAGUGAUGGAGGGACGCAGUAGGCUAACUAAAGCAGACGAUUGGAAGAGUCUGUCUAAGCAGUGAGGUGUGAAUUGAGUCAAAUGCUUAAUUCUAUAACAUUGAGCUGUGAUGGGGAGCGAAGUUUAGUAGCGAAGUUAGUGACGUCACACUGCCAAGAAAAGCUUCUAGCGUUUAACCAUACUCUACCCGUACCGCAAACCGACACAGGUAGUCGAGGCGAGUAGCCUCAGGUGAGCGAGAGAACUCUCGUUAAGGAACUCGGCAAAAUGACCCCGUAACUUCGGGAGAAGGGGUGCUGACUUUAAGUCAGCCGCAGUGAAUAGGCCCAAGCAACUGUUUAUCAAAAACACAGCUCUCUGCUAAAUCGUAAGAUGAUGUAUAGGGGGUGACGCCUGCCCGGUGCUGGAAGGUUAAGAGGAGUGCUUAGCGUAAGCGAAGGUAUGAAUUGAAGCCCCAGUAAACGGCGGCCGUAACUAUAACGGUCCUAAGGUAGCGAAAUUCCUUGUCGGGUAAGUUCCGACCCGCACGAAAGGCGUAAUGAUUUGGGCACUGUCUCAACGAGAGACUCGGUGAAAUUUUAGUACCUGUGAAGAUGCAGGUUACCCGCGACAGGACGGAAAGACCCCAUGGAGCUUUACUGCAGUUUGAUAUUGAGUGUCUGUACCACAUGUACAGGAUAGGUAGGAGUCUAAGAGAUCGGGACGCCAGUUUCGAAGGAGACGCUGUUGGGAUACUACCCUUGUGUUAUGGCCACUCUAACCCAGAUAGGUGAUCCCUAUCGGAGACAGUGUCUGACGGGCAGUUUGACUGGGGCGGUCGCCUCCUAAAAGGUAACGGAGGCGCCCAAAGGUUCCCUCAGAAUGGUUGGAAAUCAUUCGCAGAGUGUAAAGGUAUAAGGGAGCUUGACUGCGAGAGCUACAACUCGAGCAGGGACGAAAGUCGGGCUUAGUGAUCCGGUGGUUCCGUAUGGAAGGGCCAUCGCUCAACGGAUAAAAGCUACCCUGGGGAUAACAGGCUUAUCUCCCCCAAGAGUUCACAUCGACGGGGAGGUUUGGCACCUCGAUGUCGGCUCGUCGCAUCCUGGGGCUGUAGUCGGUCCCAAGGGUUGGGCUGUUCGCCCAUUAAAGCGGCACGCGAGCUGGGUUCAGAACGUCGUGAGACAGUUCGGUCCCUAUCCGUCGCGGGCGUAGGAAAUUUGAGAGGAUCUGCUCCUAGUACGAGAGGACCAGAGUGGACUUACCGCUGGUGUACCAGUUGUCUUGCCAAAGGCAUCGCUGGGUAGCUAUGUAGGGAAGGGAUAAACGCUGAAAGCAUCUAAGUGUGAAACCCACCUCAAGAUGAGAUUUCCCAUGAUUAUAUAUCAGUAAGAGCCCUGAGAGAUGAUCAGGUAGAUAGGUUAGAAGUGGAAGUGUGGCGACACAUGUAGCGGACUAAUACUAAUAGCUCGAGGACUUAUCCAA
rnacentral:rRNA from 1 species